AAGUAUGACUAAUAGAACAUAAACUGCACGUCCAAUCCCAUCUGAUCUCGGAAGCUAAGCAGGGUCGGGCCUGCUUAGUACUUGGAUGGGAGACCACCUAGGAAGACCAGUUGCUGUAUUCA
rnacentral:rRNA from 1 species